UCAGUUGCCGAGCCACUUGGAGCAGAAACUGAGCCAGUGCCUUGAGCUUUGAGGGCUGCCGCAGCAGCUAAUCUUCUCUCAGCUGCAGCUGCUCUUUUUUCCCUUUCAGCAUCUUGAGCUCUCCUUAAUUCCUCCUGAUUGGCAAAACAAAGAAAAUAUAUCAGAGAUCAGCACUUCCAACACCAAUUCCCAUUCGAGCAGUUAUAAGUGCAUAACAAGAAUACAGCAGAAAUAUGUUCUAUGACCUCUUUUGUUAUUUUUGCUGAAAGACAAAACAGAGAAAACAUAUCAGAGAUCAGCACUUCCAAGACCAAUUCCCAUUCGAGCAGGUAUAAGCGCAUAACAAGAAUACGGCAGAAAUAUGUUCUAUGACCUCUUUUGAUAUAUUUGCUGAAAGACU
rnacentral:lncRNA from 1 species